rnacentral:tRNA from 1 species
AGGAUAAUAGUUAACCUUAACAUUUAAUUUGCAUUUAAAAAAUAUUGAAUUUUUCAAUUUAUCUUU